UUCAAAAUCCUUUUUCCACUUGCAAUUUAAUAAACUGCAGUUCAAAAUCCUUUUUCCACUUGCAAUUUAAUAAACUGCAGUUCAAAAUCCAUUUCCCUUUCCUGUUCGCUCCGGGAUUAGGUGCUGGAUUAGCUGCUGGAUUAGCUGCUGGAUUAGCUCUUCGAUUAACAACUUGCUGGAGGCUAUUCAAAUUAGCCACACCGUGGGAUGUAAGGAGCUCUCUGAUUGGUUGGUCAGACACAGGCUGUCUGCCAGCCUGGAUUUUUCUAGCUCAUAGCUUCGCCCUGCUAAGAAGCCUGUGUGCUUGUACAAAGGCCGUUCAGCCUCGGGAUUUACACUCGGCUCGACACGGAUAUGUGAAGAAUGAAGGGACCCUGCAGCGAAACGGAGAGCGCAACCUCUGACUGAGUGCCUGUCUACACAGUCUGACCACCUGUUGAAGGGCUGUUUGAUGACGAUUUGGACUCCUCUGGGAGAUGAGGACACACCCACAUCUGUUCCAUACUGCAGCCAUGGAUGGUGUUACAGCUCUGAGGCAGCUUUGGGCCAUCAGACGCACACACUGGAAAACCAGCACCUGGACUUCAUGCAGGAGAGAUGGCCUCAGUGAUGUAGGUUCAUAAAAUUCAUCAGCAGCUGUGAAGAGAUGCAUUUGAAUAUCUUCUGGUUCCACUUUUCCUAACCUGGAAGCUGAGGAUGGCUGAUUUCUGACAAGGACACACACCUCAGCGCUUAUCAUGGGUGUUACAUCCUCCGUGCAGCAAUUCCAGAGAAAACGAGAGAGCAACGACCACUCAUUAAGACCAGACAGAAAUCUGUCCCUUUUUGGCAGCUGUGGAAACUUCCAAUAAGAAAGUUUGCAUUCUUAGAACAAUGCUGGGUCGUGUGUGAUGUGUCAUCAUAUGAGGAUAUUACAUUUUGACUUAAUUCUGCUCAAUUAAGUGUUUUGAUCGUUGAUCCAGUAUAGCAGCUUUGUGUUGUGCAGCAAGUUAAAACCCAUUGUCCUCACGAGCACAGCAUCUAACAACUCUCCUUAAAAAAACCGAAUGACUUUAACUAGACACAAUGGUUUCCAG